GACGAACGCUGGCGGCGUGCUUAACACAUGCAAGUCGAACGAUGAAGCCCUUCGGGGUGGAUUAGUGGCGAACGGGUGAGUAACACGUGGUCAAUCUGCCCUUCACUCUGGGACAAGCCCUGGAAACGGGGUCUAAUACCGGAUAACACUCUGUCCCGCAUGGGACGGGGUUGAAAGCUCCGGCGGUGAAGGAUGAGCCCGCGGCCUAUCAGCUUGUUGGUGGGGUGAUGGCCUACCAAGGCGACGACGGGUAGCUGGCCUGAGAGGGCGACCGGCCACACUGGGACUGAGACACGGCCCAGACUCCUACGGGAGGCAGCAGUGGGGAAUAUUGCACAAUGGGCGAAAGCCUGAUGCAGCGACGCCGCGUGAGGGAUGACGGCCUUCGGGUCGUAAACCUCUUUCAGCAGGGAAGAAGCGAAAGUGACGGUACCUGCAGAAGAAGCGCCGGCUAACUACGUGCCAGCAGCCGCAGUAACAC
rnacentral:rRNA from 1 species